GAAGGAUCAUUAUCGUACAAUGGAGGUGCUGGGGCUGUCGCUGACCUUUGAAAAAGGUUGUGCACGCCCGGAGCACUCUCUCAUAUCCAUCUCACCCCUUUGUGCAUUGCCGCGUGGGUCCCCUUUUGGCUUGUUCCGAGGGGGACCUGCGUUUUUACAUAGACACCCUUUGAAUGCAUGUGUAGAAUGUCUUACUUUUUGCGAUCACACGCAAUCAAUACAACUUUCAACAACGGAUCUCUUGGCUCUCGCAUCGAUGAAGAACGCAGCGAAAUGCGAUACGUAAUGUGAAUUGCAGAAUUCAGUGAAUCAUCGAAUCUUUGAACGCACCUUGCGCCCCUUGGUAUUCCGAGGGGCACACCCGUUUGAGUGUCGUGUAUACUCUCAACCUUCUUGGUUUCUUUGACCAGGAAGGCUUGGACUUUGGAGGUUUUUCUUGCUGGCCUCUUUCGAAGCCAGCUCCUCCUAAAUGAAUGGGUGGGGUCCGCUUUGCUGAUCCUCGACGUGAUAAGCAUUUCUUCUACGUCUCAGUGUCAGCUCGGAACCCGCUUUCAAACCGUCUUUGGACAAAGACAAUGUUCGAGUUGUGACUCGACCUUACAAACCUUGACCUCAAAUCGGGUGAGACUACCCGCUGAACUU
rnacentral:rRNA from 1 species